CAUGCAAUACCAGGACCCUGAAACUGAAGCAGCUAAAUUGCCACCAUCAGGUCAAAAUAUCAGCUACAUGACUUUCUCAUCAGACUCAGCUGUACUUUGUGUUUAGCACUAAUGCUACACUAGGAUGUGUCAGCCGCAGCUGACCACUGGCUGCAGGUAUCGUCCAUCAAGACAGAGCCGCUGUCAUCUGGCAGAACACUGGUGCUAGUGUCCUGAGGA